rnacentral:piRNA from 1 species
UGAUAAGGCACAACCCAUUUAAACAAAUGU